GACAGAGGUGCCAAGCGUUAGGCGGAAUCACUGGGCUUAAAGCGUGUGUAGGCGGAAUGGUAAGUACCUUGUGAAAUCCCACGGCUCAACCGUGGAACUGCUUGGUAUACUGCUUUUCUUGAGCCACUUAGGGGCUGUCGGAACAAACGGUGGAGCGGUGAAAUGCGUAGAUAUCGUUUGGAACGCCAACGGUGAAAACAGGUUGCUGGGGAUGUGCCGACGCUGAGACACGAAAGCCAGGGGAGCAAACGGG
rnacentral:rRNA from 1 species